GUAUCCUUACAAAUGUUGCCUUCAAUGACCAAACGAUGACCCUACGAUGACCCUUUUACAUCCAAAGGAUAAAACUGUUUACUUCUCAAUAGUAAGGACCGUUUUACCCUCAUAAGGAUAGGAAAUGCCCAUAAAGACCUUGGGUCGGUAUAACUCUUAAUUGCUGGCUCACAACCUAGAACAUUUUUCAUACCUCACACUCUGCAAAUACUAGAAAAUCACCACUUGGUAUACAUUCGUACUAGAAUCAUUGCCAAGUUAUAUUUUUC
rnacentral:lncRNA from 1 species